rnacentral:rRNA from 1 species
CGGCGAGCGAACGGGGAGGAGCCCAGAGUCUGAAUCAGUGUGUGUGUUAGUGGAAGCGUCUGGAAAGGCGCGCGAUACAGGGUGACAGCCCCGUACACAAAAAUGCACAUACUGUGAGCUCGAUGAGUAGGGCGGGACACGUGGUAUCCUGUCUGAAUAUGGGGGGACCAUCCUCCAAGGCUAAAUACUCCUGACUGACCGAUAGUGAACCAGUACCGUGAG